UAUUUAACAAAACCUCAGCUUCCUACUAGAAGAGAUGAACAGAGUAAGCAAGGAAACAACUACACUUUGGAGAAGGAAGAUGGAUGUUUGAUUUUUUUUUUUAAUGCCUCUCAGGAAGGAAGCAAUCUCUUAAAAAUGUGGAGUCUCUUGCUUCUUCUUCUGGGCCAAGGUUCCGUGUUCAGUGUUUCCCUGUACCAAAACCCAAAGAGGGACAUCUGUCAAAGUGGAGCCUCCCUGACAAUCCAGUGUCGGGUUGAUACCCAAGUUACUUUGAUGUUCUGGUACCGUCAGCUUCAGGGACAGAGCUUGAAGCUCAUUGCCACCGCAAAUCAAGGCUCUGAAGCCACAUAUGAGAAUGGAUUUACCAAGGAAAAGUUUCCUAUUAGCCGCCCAAACCUAACAUUCUCGACUUUGACUGUGAGCAAUGUUAGACCUGAAGAUAGCAGCUUCUAUUUCUGUAGCUCUGAAACAACUGGGUGAGCAGCAUUUCGGUCC